rnacentral:rRNA from 1 species
GAUCCUGGCUCAGGAUGAACGCUAGCGUAAGGCCUAACACAUGCAAGUCGAGGGGCAGCGGUAAUAAGCAGCUUAUUUGCCGGCGACCGGCUACGGGUGCGUAACGCCAUAUUUCCUACCUCUAUCUGGAAGAUAGCCCGAAGAAAUUCGGAUUAAUACUCCAUUCGUAUUACGAUGUGGCAUAAGCAAUGUAAUUAAAGCUCCGGCGGAUAGAGAUGGGCAUGCGUGACAUUAGUUUGUUGGUAGAGGUAACGGCUCACCAAGACUACGAUGUCUAGGGGUUCUGAGAGGAUGAUCCCCCACACUGGUACUGAGACACGGACCAGACUCCUACGGGAGGCAGCAGUGAGGAAUAUUGGUCAAUGGACGCAACCUCUGAACCAGCCAUGCCGCGUGCAGGAUGAAGGCCCUACGGGUUGUAAACUGCUUUUAUUCGGGAAUAAACCCCUCUACGUGUAGAGGGCUGAAGGUACCGAAUGAAUAAGCACCGGCUAACUCCGUGCCAGCAGCCGCGGUAAUACGGAGGGUGCAAGCGUUAUCCGGAUUUAUUGCAGGAGAGUUUAAAGGGUGCGUAGGUGGGAAAUUAAGUCAGUGCUGAAAUCCUACAGCUCAACUGUAGAACUGUAUUAUUUGAUACUGGUUUUCUUGAAUAUCACGGUCCCUUGAAGUGACAAGCGGAAUAUGACAAACACCGUAGCGGUGAAAUGCUUAGAGAUGUCAUAGAACACCGAUUGCGAAGGCAGCUCUUCUAACCCGGUAUUGCAUAUCAGAGGAGGCACCCCGUUAAAGCGAAGAUUUUAGGGAUCAAUUACAGAGAGGAUUAGAUACCCUGGUAGUCCACGCCGUAAACGAUGAUUAUAUCGCUAUUGGCAAUACACAGUCAGUGGUAUAUAAGCGAAAGCAUUAAGUAAUCCACCUGGGGAGUACGAUCGUAUAUGGAGGUUGAAACUCAAAGGAAUUGACGGGGGCCCGCACAAGCGGUGGAGCAUGUGGUUUAAUUCGAUGAUAGAGGGAACCUUACCAGGGCUUGAACGCAUUAUGACAGGCCGGCAGGAGAAACCUAUUAUUCCUUCUUCGGACAUUUUGCGAGGUGCUGCAUGGCUGUCGUCAGCUCGUGCCGAUAUGAGGUGUUGGAUAUAUAAGUCCCGCAACGAGCGCAACCCCUAUCUUUAGUUGCCAGCGAGUAAUGUCGGGGACUCUAAAGAAACUAUUUAGCGCAAGCGGUGAGGAAGGUGGGGACGACGUCAAGUAUUCACGGCCCUUACGUCCUGGGCUACACACGCAGGAGUACAAUGGCCGGUCACGAGUUGGGCAGCCACUUGGUGACAAGGAGCUAAUCCCCAAAGCCGGUCUCAGUUCGGAUUGGAGUCUGCAACUCGACUCUAUGAACACAUGGAAUCGCUAGUAAUCGGAUAUCAGCAAUGAUCCGGUGAAUACGUUCCCGGGCC